UACAGAGGUCCCGAGCGUUGUUCGGAUUCACUGGGCGUAAAGGGUGCGUAGGUGGCGCCGUAAGUCGGGUGUGAAAUUUCGGAGCUUAACUCCGAAACUGCAUUCGAUACUGCGGUGCUUGAGGACUGGAGAGGAGACUGGAAUUCAUGGUGUAGCAGUGAAAUGCGUAGAGAUCAUGAGGAAGACCAGUGGCGAAGGCGGGUCUCUGGACAGUUCCUGACACUGAGGCACGAAGGCCAGGGGAGCAAACGGG
rnacentral:rRNA from 1 species